AUUAAAGAAUGAUUAAAGGCUCAGAUUUGAAGGUUCAUGUGGGUCCAAUGGCUGCUAUGCAAAGAAGCAAAGUUCUCAACUCUGAGAAGGUGUCCAACGGUCACUUUUAAGGAUGGCUUGGAUUAGAGACAUUUUUAAUCCAAUGGUCAACUAUGCUUGAAGACAUUGAAUGGCCAAGAUGAAGACCAAAGUAGCAAGAUUAAGGGCUGAUAUUGAAACGACACUUUUGCUUGUCAAAAUGGAGAAUUUGAGACAAGUCUCAACGACACAAAAUUUCAUAUGAAUUAUGUGAGAUAUGUGAAACUCACGAAUUCACUUAAAACGUGACGGUUUUCUUUGGGGAGUACCAGCGCAAGGGACCAGGAUCCAACCAUGCUACAAGGGCCAAGUUCACCAAGAACCUGACACCAGCCCAGGCCAACAAAUUCCUCUCCCUUGGUUUCAUUCAUGCCUCCAAAUGGCUUCUCCCUCCUCCCAAGAUGUAAAUACAUCAUCAUGUAUAUGGGCUCCAUGUUUUAUCAAAAAAAAAGAAAGUAUAUGGGCUCCAUGCUAGAAAUAGCUAAGGAGUGAAUUGUGGUAUACGUCAGCAUUGUUUAUAUAAUUAAAAUAAAUUCAUUGAAAUAAUAGGAUUUUAUUCUUCAA